UAAAAAAUUUCACAUAUUGUGGGUAUUCCCAUUUUUGUGUGGGUAUUCCCAUUUUUGUUUUUCCCCUUUCAAUUAUUCAUCCAAAGAAACCUAAAUCUUUGAGUUGCCAUUUGGCGAACCACACACUUGUGUGUUUCAACAGUCUACGAGAAUUUCAUUCUAUUAUGUACAACUGUAGGUGUAUAGCAUUCUGGUAAUCCAAGGAAUAAAUUGUAUAACCCUUGAGGUGGCAGUCAUUGAUGAUUUACCGAGUUACCCUAAAUGCUAUACUAUUAGUUGUCUGGUCUUGUUUAAGAUUACACAGUCCAAUCUAGUUCUUGAAGUAUUUUCUAUUGGAUUGUUCACUGGUGCUAAGGAUCGAAGCUGCAUUCUGCUGUCGAGUUACAGGCCCAUAUCUUACUAUGUCUCUUUAUCAAGCAGUUACGAAUUGUUGUUCAUGUGCAAGCAUAGAUGCGACAGCAUGAUGCAUUUAUAUGGUUUAUUCUUGCAGAUUGCCUUCGAUCCAACUAAGAAGAAGAAGAAGAAGAAGGUUGUACUUCAGGAUCGGACUGAUGAGAUUGUUGACAAGUUAGCAGAGAAAACUGAAAGUCUGUCAGUUUCUGAUGGUUUGGAGACUACCACAUUUUCUGGACUUAAAAAGAAGAAGAAAAAACAACCCUUUUCGACUGAAAAGUGAUUAUUAUGCCAAUAAGACCAAGUGGGGGAAAUGAAGACCAUAAGGGAGUUAUUCUACAGUUUCGUUAUCCUUGGGAGGGAAGUGAUUGUGUCACACCUUGCCCAGCACACGUCUUUGCUUGGUAUGCGAGACACGAUAAAUAUGUGAUUUGCAUUGGGUGCAAGAGUCCGGACACUAUUUUUUCAAAGGAGAACCGGCUUUUCUUUCUCAGAUGCGAGAAGAUGAAUAUGUGAUUUGCAUUGGGUGCAAGAGUCUGGACACUCUUCUUUCAAAGGAGAACCGGCUUUUCUUUCUCAGGUGCGAGAUGGUUUUUCAAGUAUUUCAAGUUCACAAGUGACAUGACUAUUGUGAUGUAUGAUUAAAUUUACGUUCACUCAUCCGCACAAGUUUUGGAUUGGAUUAAGGAUUGGAUUAAGAUGCUAUCAGAGGUUACUUCAAGAUGUCGUUGAUUAAGAAAGUAGGGUGGUUCUGGACGAUCAGUUGCUCCAAUUAAAGCUGGGUUUGUUGCUCGUGUUGGCCGGAGGAACAAUGGAACGUGACUUGUACAUUGUUCCUUUAUAUUGAAGCCCGAUGAUUGACGUGGGAUCCUGGUUUCGUGGGAUGUAAAGUCAACCAGAAGGGCAAUAUGGCCAUUUGAACUUAAUAGGAAGAAUGGUUGGAAAAAUGGGGAAAAGCAGAGCAGGCACUGUCUGUUGAUUGUUCUCAAUCAGGCAUCCACCAUUUCCACUCGGUUUUGUGCCUCUUCAAUAUCUCCAAUAGCAGAAUAAACGAUACAGCCAUUGAAUUACAUUUCACGUUGCUGAAGCUGCCGGAGGAAUCAGGGACGAGGGAGGCCCUCUCUCUCUCUCUCUGAGUCAACGUCCAACUUCAGGCUUUCUUUCUACCGCUGAAUGGCUAACUCAUUGGCUCGGAGCGAUAGGAAAUUCAAGAGGUUGGAAUCUCGGAAGUCUCAUUCAUGGUGGUGGGACAGUCACGUCAGCCCCAAAAAUUCUAGAUGGCUCACAGAGAAUCUCGAGGAGAUGGACCGCAGCAUCAAGCGUAUGUUGAAGCUAAUUGAAGAGGAUGCAGAUUCAUUUGCAAAGAAGGCUGAAAUGUAUUAUCAGAAGAGGCCAGUGUUGAUCUCUCAUGUUGAGGAAUUCUACCGCAUGUAUCGUUCCCUUGCUGAGCGUUAUGAUCACGUGACAGGUGAGCUUCGAAAAAAUAUUCCUUCAGAUCUACAAUCUCAGGGCUCUGGCAUUUCUGACCUGGGCUCUGAGCCGCCCUCUACAUGGCCCUCUCCUGAUCAAAGGCUUGGGCGUCGAAAAUCUGGACCACGAGCUGCUGGCUUUGAUUUCUUCCUUGGAUCUGGUGGAAGCAACUCCGAUACUUGCCAAAAGGAAGGAGAUGAGUCAUCUUCCUUGACUGAAUCUGAACCUGAAUCUGACGAUUCAUCGGUAAACAAUUAUUCAGGUGGUGAUCAAGGUCUGAACAGGAAGAUGAUUGAAUUGGAGAUUGAGCUUCGUGAGGCUAAAGAAAAGCUCCGCAUGAAAGCAGAUAAUGCAGAAGGUUCCUUUCCAUUCAAGGGGGCAGCAGAUGAAAAUUCUGAUUAUGUUUUUGCUAGAAUUGCUGGGUAUGAGGAAGAAUUAAGGAAUGCAAAUGAGAAGCUGCGAAUUUCAGAUGUGCAGAUCAUGAGGUUGAAAAGUGAGCUCCAAAAGUACAGGGAAUCAGUAAUGACCAAAGGUUUGCAGGUUGAGUCUUUGUCUGAUACAAUGGAAGAAACCCAGAGGCAUGAAGAUGGGGUUCCUUUGGUCAUUAAUCAGGAAUCAGAGGUUGACGAACAUCAUAGAGGUUCAGGAGCUGACCAUGCCAUUACCGUUGAGGGACUGGUGGAAGAGCAGAAAAUUACCAAGGAAAGACUUGAGAUUUCACAGAAAGAACUUUCUAAAUUAAAGCUUGAGCUUGAGAACAAUAGAUCACCUGAGAAAAUCUGCCAUUUGCAGAAUGAGCUUGAAGCUGCCCGAAAAGAUACCACUACAUGGAAGGCCAAGCUGAGUGCGGAGAGAAGAGAGGUCUCCAAGCUCCAAGAAAGAAUUUCAAGGUUGAAAGCUAGUUUAUCGGAUCGAGAUCAUGAGAUAAGGGAUUUAAAACUAGCAGUAUCUGAUGCUGAGCAGAAAAUCUUUCCCGAGAAAGCACAAGUUAAGGCUGAAAUGUCUAAGCUACUUGAGGAGCAAACUGUGUUGAUGGAACAAGUCAGAGAAUCGGAACAUCGGGCUCGUCUUUUGGAGGAUGAAAUCAGAAAAAUAAAGGGGGAAAAGGUGGAUUUGGAAGAGAGACUUAAUGGUGAAAUCGAGCGGUUGGAGACGACAAUUGUUGAGAAAGUAGAAUGCAUGGAGUAUUUUAAAAAUGGGCUGAAUGAUUUGGAAUCUGAAAGGGAUCAGCUACAGGAUGAAAUUGUUGCUUUGAAAGAGAAACUGAGGUCUAAAGAUAAGCAGGUAGAUGAUAUAAGGAAGCAUGUGGAAAAAUUGGAAAGGGAACGUGUGGAACUAGUGUCAGGUAUUGAUAAAGCAGACAAGGUGGCGGAGAAGUUAAGAUUAAGAGAGAAGGAGCUGGAGGGGGAGGUGGAGAAGCAAAGAAUACUGAUAAUGGAAGGAGCCGAGGAAAAGAGAGAGGCUAUAAGGCAGCUAUGUUUUUCGAUUGAGCACUACAGGAGUGGAUAUCAUAUGCUUAGAGAAGUUUUUAUUGGUCAAAAGCGGGUUCCAGUGUUGGCUUCUUAAGUACAUGUUUAGAAUAACAUCGAAUCUCAAAACAGUUGUUGGCUUGUUUCUGGGAUGAAACUAACGGUUUUCUGUUUGUUAAAUUAAAUUAUGUAAAUGUAGUUCGUUUAGAGAAACAAUGGGCGGGAGUUUGAUGUGAAUCGUCCCAGCAGCGUCCUGUUGCCAAGUUUUGGCUCUUUUAACGUCUGUUGAAGUAUGAAACACUUUUAGGACCUUUCGUACCUUGGAUCAAACUUGAAAUCUAGAAGACCAAUGCGAACCACGCAAAUGAGCUCCAAUUCUAAGGCUUGUAUUUUGUUGUGUAUGAGACGCCAGGAUUGAAUCAUUUUGACAAACGUUAACUUGUUGGUAAAUAACCUUUGUCCAAUGCCUACAUGUAGCUCUUUAUUCUUUAUUUUAAGUACAGAAACGUCUUUCGAGGCAGCAACUAAGGGGCUUUUUAGGACAA